rnacentral:rRNA from 1 species
CCGACGGUGAGAGAUGAAAGCUGGGGAGCAAACCGGAUUAGAUACCCGGGUAGUCCUAGCUGUAAACGAUGCGCGUUAGGUGUAUCAGUGACCACGAGUCACUGAGGUGCCGAAGAGAAAUCGUGAAACGUGCCGCCUGGGAAGUACGGUCGCAAGGCUGAAACUUAAAGGAAUUGGCGGGGAGCACCACAACAGGUGGAGCCUGCGGUUUAAUCGGACUCAACGCCGGAAAUCUCACCAGAUAAGACAGCUGAAUGAUAGUCGGGCUGAAGACUCUACUUGACUAGCUGAGAGGAGAUGCAUGGCCGUCGUCAGUUCGUACUGUGAAGCAUCCUGUUAAGUCAGGCAACGAGCGAGACCCACGCCAACAGUUGCUAG